rnacentral:lncRNA from 1 species
AUUUGCAGUUUAUAUAAUAUGGCGACAUUCUACUUAAUAAUCAGUUGAGCAAAUAGCUUGAGUGCUUUAAAAGCGAUGGAUAAAUUUAAUAAAAUUUGUUCUUUCGCCAUUCAAAACAAAUACAAUUUUCACAACGCCGCGCUUUCUAUUUACUCAUUAAUAGUCAUUUGUUUCAUCACCACUUCAUACCUAUUGCAGUCAAAUAAUCCCCAAACUACCAUUUUAAGUAUUACAUAAUUCAAUCACUGAACUCCUACGUACGGAAAACUAUUAUAUCGACAUCAGCAAACAGGUUACUGGGGAAGACUGGGAAGAAUGUUGUCCUACAGCAAGAUGGUGUCUCUGCUCAUACUGUCAAUUUGUGCUUCCUUGAUUAUCUCAUGUCCUGAUAGAACAUGACCAUGUAACCACCCUUUUCCCGUAAUGCCAAACAACUCACUGGAUGACUAUUUACAGGCUUGUAUUGAAAGCAAGGUCUGCUCCACACCCCAUUUCAAUACCAAUGUUCAGAGGGUCUCUGAAUGUGCGAAGAUAUAAACAAGGCCAUGGUGACGAAGACUUGUAUUGCCUUCAGGACCCAUAUAGAGGCCAUUAUCCAGGCUGUACGUUGGCUGCAAAAUUAUAGAUAACAAACAUAUCUGCUGACAAAGAUUACUGUUUAUAAACUAUAAACUUAUAAACUUGCUCGUUGAUUCAAUAGAAUUUUCAAAAUAAGGAUGAAUAAUUAGUGGAGCUUUUUCACUGACGUCAUCAAUUGCAUCUUAACUAUAGGAGACGCCAUUUUGGGAUCUCAAAGUGAUUAAUAAAUAUAAUAGAAAAAUUUCUAAUACACGAUUCGAUUUCAUCAUAUGCCUUUAUAAAUAAAAUAAAAACCUAGCUUCUGAAUUGAA